rnacentral:rRNA from 1 species
AACGAACGCUGGCGGCAUGCCUAACACAUGCGAGUCGAACGAUGCUUUCGGGCAUAGUGGCGCACGGGUGCGUAACGCGUGGGAAUCUGCCCUUGGGUUCGGAAUAACAGUGAGAAAUUGCUGCUAAUACCGGAUGAUGUCUUCGGACCAAAGAUUUAUCGCCCAGGGAUGAGCCCGCGUAGGAUUAGUUAGUUGGUGGGGUAAUGGCCUACCAAGGCGACGAUCCUUAGCUGGUCUGAGAGGAUGAUCAGCCACACUGGGACUGAGACACGGCCCAGACUCCUACGGGAGGCAGCAGUGGGGAAUAUUGGACAAUGGGCGCAAGCCUGAUCCAGCAAUGCCGCGUGAGUGAUGAAGGCCUUAGGGUUGUAAAGCUCUUUUACCCGGGAUGAUAAUGACAGUACCGGGAGAAUAAGCUCCGGCUAACUCCGUG